rnacentral:rRNA from 1 species
UACGUAGGGUGCAAGCGUUGUCCGGAAUCAUUGGGCGUAAAGGGCGCGUAGGUGGCGGGACAAGCGUGCGGUGAAAGCCUGGGGCUCAACCCCGGGUCGGCCGUGCGAACUGUUUUGCUUGAGCACUGUAGAGGCAGGCGGAAUUCCGGGUGUAGCGGUGGAAUGCGUAGAGAUCCGGAAGAACACCGGUGGCGAAGGCGGCCUGCUGGGCAGUAGCUGACACUGAGGCGCGACAGCGUGGGGAGCAAACAGG